UACGUAGGGGGCAAGCGUUGUCCGGAUUUAUUGGGCGUAAAGAGCGUGUAGGCGGCUUGGUAGGUCCGCUGUGAAAACUCGAGGCUCAACCUCGAGAUGUCGGCGGAAACCACUUGGCUAGAGUCCGGAAGAGGAGAGUGGAAUUCCUGGUGUAGCGGUGAAAUGCGCAGAUAUCAGGAAGAACACCUAUGGCGAAGGCAGCUCGCUGGGACGGUACUGACGCUGAGGCGCGAAAGCGUGGGGAGCAAACAGG
rnacentral:rRNA from 1 species